GUGCCAGCAGCCGCGGUAAUUCCAGCUCCAAUAGCGUAUAUUAAAGUUGUUGUGGUUAAAAAGCUCGUAGUUGAACCUUGGGCCUGGCUGGCCGGUCCGCCUCACCGCGUGCACUGGUCCGGCCGGGCCUUUCCCUCUGUGGAACCCCAUACCCUUCACUGGGCGUGGCAGGGAAACAGGACAUUUACUUUGAAAAAAUUAGAGUGCUCCAGGCAGGCCUAUGCUCGAAUACAUUAGCAUGGAAUAAUAAAAUAGGACGCGCGGUUCUAUUUUGUUGGUUUAUAGGACCGCCGUAAUGAUUAAUAGGGACAGUCGGGGGCAUCAGUAUUCAACUGUCAGAGGUGAAAUUCUUGGAUCAGUUGAAGACUAACUACUGCGAAAGCAUUUGCCAAGGAUGUUUUCAUUAAUCAGGAACGAAAGUCAGGGGAUCGAAGACGAUCAGAUACCGUCGUAGUCUUAACCAUAAACCAUGCCGACUAGGGAUCGGACGGUGUUAUUCAUGACCCGUUCGGCACCUUACGAGAAAUCAAAGUGCUUUGGGCUCCAGGGGGAGUAUGGUCGCAAGGCUGAAACUUAAAGAAAUUGACGGAAGGGCACCACCAGGGGUGGAGCCUGCGGCUUAAUUUGACUCAACACGGGGAAACUCACCAGGUCCAGACACAAUAAGGAUGACAGAUUGAGAGCUCUUUCUUGAUUUUGUGGGUGGUGCGCAUGGCCGUUCUUAGUUGGUGGGGUGACUUGUCUGCUUAAUUGCGAUAACGAACGGA
rnacentral:rRNA from 1 species